CAGUCGUACCUUCGGGUAAUCAGCCUUUCGGGUGCGAUUCUGUGGGGUUUGAGGAGCUUAACACCUUCAUGCUUUUGCAUAUUCGUGCUCUUGGGUGUACUUGCCCGUGUGGUUGGUUAACAUCGAUUUCGGUCGUCAUAAAAUGAACUGGAGAAUGUAGCUUUGGUCUCGUAUCGAAGUGUUAUAGACUCUGGUAGAUGUGACG
rnacentral:rRNA from 1 species